rnacentral:lncRNA from 1 species
CCGUCCCUCGCCGUCCUUCGCCAUCGCACGCCACCGCACCCCAUCUCUCGAAAUCUGCAGACAUCUUGAUUUUUCCCACGCUGUCUGUCAGGUCUCCGCCGCCACUCGACGCCAGGGCGCCGGGCCUUGUGGGCUGUGCUGCACCUCGGACGGCUUCGCACCAGCCAGCGCCCUCUCUCUCCUGCAGCACUCUGAUCUGCACCCCCUGAGGGGCUUCCACUGUCCGCGGGGUGAGAAUGCCCCUGGGAGUGUCACAUGACUGCCGCCCCAUGUGUGUGAGAGGCGUCCUCUGGGAGAGCAUGGAUCCUGAGGUCCCAGGAUUGUCAGCUGACCUCUGUCCUGUGUGCCCAGUGGCCCCAGGUGACGUGUCUUCAAGAAGAGGCUGAGCUGCGGUGCUUGUAAGAGUCAUGUGCUGUUCCUGGGGCUUGGAUGAUGUAGGGGAAGCAAGGUGAAAGUGGUAUCCCGUGGUUCCACGUUCUGUCCUGCUGUGGGGCUGUCCCUCACAUGCUUUCAGUGGCUGUUGCAGAGGAAGAGCCUCCGGAAAUCUGCGUGGGUCUCAGCCUUAGAUCCAAGGACAGUCCAAGGAAGUCCUAAGACCAUGGAGUUGGUGAUCUGGGAUCUGGGUUUGCUGAUAUUUCUCACCGUGAAUCUCUUGGUGGUGUUUGUGGGCACGAGAGGGGCAGAGAAUGGAGAGUGAGGCUACCACAUGAAGCGUCACCAGAGCUGCUCCCUGCUGCCUGCUCAGAGCACCCCGGAUCCACUGUUCAAUCUGCACAAGAUUCGGGGUCCAGACAUGGGAGACUUCAGCUGCCUCAGAGGACCGUGGACAGGGAAGGCCAGCCUCGCAUCCCUCUGUCCAUGCCUGGAAUGACUUUAAUAACCAAGAGUUUUAUUUUUGAAUUUGUAGCUGUCGUUCACUUUUUACCC